CCAUGAACUUUGCAUCAUCGGGGAUAUCUAAAGGGUGCUGGGUGCAUUGCAAUGCUUUUUUCUCACAGCUCUGGUUUUUGCUGUCAAUCUCGUAGAAUAUCCCCUGGCGGAUGUAGAUACAGAUUCAGAUACGAAGAGCACAUGUCUGAACUCCACUCACAC